rnacentral:rRNA from 1 species
UGCGGCAUUCGCAUACUAAUUCCAGGGCUACGCCUGUCUGA